UACGGAGGGUGCAAAUGUUGCUCGGAAUUAUUGGGCGUAAAGCGCACGUAGGCGGCCUUGUAAGUCGGAUGUGAAAUCCCUCGGCUUAACCGAGGACGUGCAUCCGAAACUGUGAGGCUCGAGUAUGGAAGAGGGUCGCAGAAUUCCCGGUGUAGAGGUGAAAUUCGUAGAUAUCGGGAGGAAUACCAGUGGCGAAGGCGGCGACCUGGGCCAAUACUGACGCUGAGGUGCGAAAGCGUGGGGAGCAAACAGG
rnacentral:rRNA from 1 species